rnacentral:pre_miRNA from 1 species
GAUUUCAACUGAAAAAGUCAUCAAUGACAAAGUUGUAUAACUCAUUAAUAUCUAUAACUUUUAUUUGGGUCAUUUAUUCAUCCAAUAAAGUGAUAAUAACAUUGUUCACAAAUUUUACAUCUCUCUUAUAGUUUGUAAACUAUAUAAGAGAUAUGUAAAAUUUGUAAACAAUGUUAUAAAUCGCUUUGUCAGAUGAAGAAAUGACCCAAAUAAAAGUUAUAGAUCUUGAUGAGUUAUACCACUUUUUUAUUGAUUACUUUUUUAGUUGAAAUC